rnacentral:lncRNA from 1 species
UCAGCAAGUGGAUGAGGACAAGCAGCACCACUGCCAGCCCCUCUGCAGCAUGACUGCACCCCAAAGGGUGCUGCUGGAGGCUGGGGAGGGUUCACCUGAGCCUCCGUCUCUCCAUCUCUGGAAGCUCCCUCACCUUUCCAUGUAAUAAGCAGAGUGACUUCCCCAUUCCACGUGUGUUGCCCGGCUCUUCUGGCCCAGCCCAACCUCUGAGCCUCAGACCAGGAAAUGUGAAACCAGAUGAGAAUGGGCCUUGCAGCCACUGGGAAAGGCAGCAAAGCCCAAGAAAUUAAUAUCCCCAUGAAUAUCUGGAGUUGACUGAAGGUCAGAAGAAAUGGGUGGCAGAAGAAAGAGAAAAAGAAACAUUGACAGAUGGAAUCCCUGCCAGGCCACUUUCAGUAUCAAGAAAAGUGAUCAGGUGGCAGAGCAAUCCAUGGAGGCUUCAGACUGAUGCCCAGUGACAGCUGACUGCAAGCAAAGUCAAAGUGGUUAAGGCCACUUAAAUAUACUCCGUAUUCACGAGUCCAAAUUAAAUACUCCCUAUUCACAUCCAAUUUAAACCUGCAUCCCCUGCGUGGGCGGUGGAUGUAAACGCUGAGAAAGCCAAAGCUAAGUGUGGCCCCCUGCCAGGCCAGCUGCUCCCUCUGUUCUCAGCAGCUGCUACUGGACCUGGGAAGGUUCCAAUCUGCUCCCACUGGUGGGAAAGACCGCCCCGCUCCUGGCGUCGGGGAGGCCCUGGAGCUCUUCUUUCCUCCUGAAAGUCCACGCAGCACGGUCGCUGGGAAGGCAGGGAAGCCCAAGAAAAGCCCAUUCUGAUCUAGAAAAGCAAAGUGAAAGGUUAAGGUGGAUAUGAGGGAAGUUGAGGGCUUCUUAGUAGAACACCUAAUCUCCCAGGGAGCUGCUGUUCCCCCUUUCUGGGCUGCCUCGAGUGUGAUUGUUAAGUCAAAUUGGCCCCAUCCGCUCCUUGGCUGAAUUUGCCCGGAUUCUCUCUGGAACACAGGACUCAGCACCUCCACAGAUGCAUCUCCCCUGACAGUUCCAUCUGCACCUGAGCCCUUCGUCAAGUUAAUGGGUCACAGGCGCUCUAACUGGACUCAUGCUGCUGUGAAGCACUGCGCAUGUCUACCGCAGGAUACGGACCACCCUCGUAAAUAUCCCAGGCGAUGCUGAGGUACUAAUGAGCCUGCACUUGUGCC